AAUGUCGUAACAAGGUUUCCGUAGGUGAACCUGCGGAAGGAUCAUUGCAAAUUAAAUGCUGGUAGGAAGGUGGGUCUUGAUCUGUAAGGUGGUAGAGCGAACAGUCCGGCUGCCUCCCGAAAUGUCUUACAUGUCCCCGACAGCCUGAAGGCCGAAUUAACCCUUGAUAUCUACACUUGUUGCUUGGGUGCCAAGGUGCCCAGAGGACCCAACUCUCUUGCAUUUAGUGACGUCUGAGUAUUAUAUAAUAUUUAAAAU
rnacentral:misc_RNA from 1 species